rnacentral:rRNA from 1 species
GAUUGCCUACGGGACGCAGCAGUGGGGAAUAUUGCACAAUGGGCGCAAGCCUGAUGCAGCGACGCCGCGUGAGCGAAGAAGUAUUUCGGUAUGUAAAGCUCUAUCAGCAGGGAAGAAAAUGACGGUACCUGACUAAGAAGCUCCGGCUAAAUACGUGCCAGCAGCCGCGGUAAUACGUAUGGAGCAAGCGUUAUCCGGAAUUACUGGGUGUAAAGGGAGCGUAGACGGCAUAGCAAGUCUGAUGUGAAAGAUCGGGGCUCAAC